rnacentral:rRNA from 1 species
UACGUAGGGGGCGAGCGUUGUCCGGAAUUAUUGGGCGUAAAGGGCACGCAGGCGGUCUUCUAAGUCUGAUGUGAAAUCUCGUAGCUUAACUACGAGCGGUCAUUGGAAACUGGGAGACUUGAGUACAGAAGAGGAGAGUGGACUUCCACGUGUAGCGGUGAAAUGCGUAGAUAUGUGGAGGAACACCAGUGGCGAAGGCGGCUCUCUGGUCUGUAACUGACGCUGAGGUGCGAAAGCAUGGGUAGCGAACA